GUUGAAGUGCGAUUCUGUGACACAGAACUACAGUAACUGACCGAAAGGAGGAAUGUUCAGAGCACUGUGGUUAUCAGCAGGGUGACUCAGUGACUCUAGUCUGUGAAAUCUCAUCAUACACAUUCCUGGAGAUUCCUCUCGUCUACUCUUAUUGGAGUUCACCAUAGAAGGUUCCAUUCCACACUCACUACAGCUUGAAAUAACUAACAUGAUUAAGGGUUUAAAAAAAAAAUGAUCGGGGGACUUACACACCUCAUAUCUCUUUGUGUGGAAAAGUUGAGCAAGCUCGGGCUUUUUUGUUUAGUGAAGGAAGAUGACAGGCAACGUCAGAGAGGUGUACAAGAGGCAUGGACAGAGUGGACAGCCAUGACCUUUUUCCCCAGGGUUGCAAUGGUUCAUACCAAAGGACAUCCUUUUAAGGGAGUACAGACAAGCACAGGGAAAGAGAAAUGGCCUUAACUUGCUGAAAUUUUCCAGAAUUUUCUGUUUUUAUUUUGCCAUCUCUUGUACACCUGGUUAACAAUUGGCAUUGCCCUGAAUCAAUUUUCCACUCUCACCUGCUCCGCUCCACACCUCCUACUUCCAGGAUUUUUGCUGCCUCAGUAGAUCUUCUCCCACUGGGCAGAAGAUCUUGAGGUGCCGUUUCAAGAAGGCAACAUCCAUCAUCAAAGAACACCACCAUCCGGGCUAUGCUACCUUGUCACAGCUACCAUCGGGCAGGAGGUACAAAAGCCUGAAGUCCCAUUUCACUGGGUUCAGGAACUGCUACAGGGGCCGUGGACAAUUCUGACUUGAUGGAGCCAAAUCAGAGCAGAGAAGCAGAGGAACAUCUGGAGAAAACUUCUGAAAUGCCCGGUUCGCUGCCGCUGCUACUUUCCGAUCGAGAAUCUCUGGAGGGAAGGCCCUAAAAUCCCUGGCUUUGCCUGCUGCUGGUGACCGAGGCUGAGGUCGAAGUGUUCGGCAGAGAUGGUGCUGGGUACUCGGUGUCGGAGGGCUGAUCAGAGCUCGAAGUUUUCGGACAACUCAAAGUUGGACUGUAGUCAGGCAUGGCAGGGAGAGUUUUCUUCCUUCUCCUGACUGCGUGAGAUGUGGGACUUUCGAAAGACUUUGAACUUUUUUACUGUGCCAUGGCCUUCAUCAAGUUAUGGUAUUGUUGCACUGUUGUAAUUAUACGUUAUUAUUAUGUGGUUUUUGUUAGUUUUUCAGUCUUGGUCUGUCCUGUGUUUCAGUGAUAUCACA